UGCCGGAUCGUCUAAUGGUAGGACAGUGGCCCUUGGAGCCAUUAAUUGGGGUUCGAGUCCCUGUCCGGCAA
rnacentral:tRNA from 1 species